rnacentral:misc_RNA from 1 species
CCCCCCCCCCCCCCCCCCCUCCCGUGGGAUUUAUUAUCAAUGAACAUAUCCCUGGGAGAGGUUUCAUUACCAUGAACAUAAAUUGAUAUCUUGUGUUAAUUCUUUGAAUUUUAAUUUUCCUUGUUAUUUGGAGUUUUUGAACAAAGCAAGAUGAUGUGGAGGAUAUUGUUGUUUCUCUUCCUCCAAGAGUAAAAUAAUGUAUUUGUGUCUGUUAUAAUAUUGAGGUGAAAAUUUGCAUGAAAAUGGAAAACUUGAAAGCUGUCUGAAUGCAGGGCAAAGAGCAAAAAUGCAGAGAUUAGGAAGGGGUCGCAUACAGAGGCAACGGUAACACUUCACUUGACAUGAGUUGGUAAAAUA